UCGCGAGGCCGCGCCCUAAGUCGCGGGGUGUCCGGCGCGCGAUUGUAGCUGCCUGGCGGCGGGAGAAGUAGCGUUCGCGCUGAGGGACGUUUGUCUGCACUCGCGUGGCCAUGAAGGCUCCUCAGCCGCUGCCAGCCGCGACGACUGCAGCCCCCAACCGGAGCCGAAGGCUGCUGUUGCUGCCACUACUGCUGUUUCUGCUGCCAGUCCGGGCUCUGCGGGCCUUGGAGACAGAGGAGAGGCCCCGAACCCGUGAAGAGGAGUGCCACUUCUACGCGGGGGGACAAGUGUACCCGGGGGAGGCGUCCCGAGUUUCAGUCGCCGACCACUCCCUGCAUCUCAGCAAAGCCAAGAUUUCCAAGCCAGCACCUUAUUGGGAAGGAACAGCUGUGAUAAAUGGAGAGUUUAAGGAGCUCAAGUUAACUGAUUAUCGUGGAAAAUACCUGGUUUUUUUCUUCUACCCACUUGAUUUCACUUUUGUGUGUCCAACUGAAAUCAUCGCCUUUGGUGAUAGAAUUGAAGAAUUCAGAUCUAUCAACACCGAAGUGGUGGCAUGCUCUGUUGAUUCACAGUUUACCCAUUUGGCCUGGAUUAACACCCCUCGAAGACAAGGAGGACUUGGGUCCAUCAAGAUUCCACUGCUUUCAGAUUUGACCCAUCAGAUCUCAAAAGACUAUGGCGUAUAUCUGGAAGACUCAGGCCACACUCUUAGAGGUCUCUUCAUUAUUGAUGACAAAGGGAUCCUAAGACAGAUUACUCUGAAUGAUCUUCCUGUGGGUAGAUCGGUGGAUGAGACACUGCGUUUGGUUCAAGCAUUCCAGUACACCGAUAAACAUGGAGAAGGCUCCAUUUUCAAUUUCAUUCGGACAAAGAAAAGCCAAGAGAUGCUGAAGAGAACUGAACUCAACAGUCUUUUGCCAAUUUUUGUUCCUUUCAGUGUGCCCUGCUGGAUGGAAACCUGGGAGUGAAACAAUCAAACCUGAAGAUGCCAUGAAAGCCUGGUGGCCACGAGAAGAGCUAUAAUCCCAGAUCCCGCUGGAAAACUGAAGUAUUUCGACAAACUGAACUGAAAAAUACUUCAAGUUACAAUGUUUGAACGUUGUCAAUAAAGGACACUGUGUUACUUACC